CAGUGGCAAAAUGGUGACUUCCUUUCUCUAAGUCUCCUCCCUGUGUCUCCAUUUAUGUAAGGCCCAGGAAGAGGGGGAAACCAAACCUGGGUCAUGCCUCAUUGAUGGAAUCCCAUCAAAAUGAACUGAUCAAGUGAGCUAUUCAGGGUGAGAACCAAGUCAAAGGCAAUGAAAAGGUCUCACCACCUUUUGAAUUAAAAAACAUAAAUUUUGGGGGGGAGUCCAAAUUCAAACUGUCACAUCUGGAUAUUACUCUCUCACUAAAUAGGUUUAUAAAAAACUAAAGAGAGCAUAUGUAGGGAAAAUAAGCCAAUAGAAAGAAAACUCCUACAUUCACGGGCUUGCUCAGCACACUAUGAUUUCUAAUGAACAGCUCUUGGAAACAAUGCAGUGUCCAGGACUAGAAGUCUCUCUGUUUGACAGGUGGACUUCCACACAGCCCCAUGUUUUAAGUGGCAUCUUACUGCACACAGGGCGAUGGUCCUUAGUCCAGGGCGUCCCUGAAUCCACACCUCUGGAAAGUAAGCCCCAGUCUUCUGCAGUGGGCAGGAGCUACGGGCUGCGGACCAUUCUGUCCAGACUCCCCCUCUCCUGACCUGCCUUUCUCCCCGCCUGUUCCACCACAGGGUCCCUGAUGUCUGCGGUGCCAAGCGCUGCAGGGAUCAGAGCAUAAGUGAGCGGGCCUGUCCUUCUGCCGCUGCUGCCUCAGGCAGCCGGUCGACUGCAGCUCGUGGAACGGUUCCGCCGGGGGAGAGGGCGUUCCUCACGCUGUCAGCAUGGAUACGGGUUGUCGGGGCGACCUCUCUUGCCUCGCUCCGGGAACCGCGUGGGGCACAAUCAGCUGGGGCGAGAGGACCGCGCUACGACUCACACGACACAGCCAGAAGAACAGGAGACUUAUUGANNNNNNNNNNNNNNNNNNNNNNNNNNNNNNNNNNNNNNNNNNNNNNNNNNACCUCUCUUGCCUCGCUCCGGGAACCGCCGUUGGGGCCACAAAUCAGCUGGGGCGAAGAGGACCGCGCUACGAACUCACACGAACACCAGCCAGAAGAAACAGGAGACUUUAUUGAGAGAGCCAGCACAUGUGGGCUCAUGCACAAUCUGCAGAUGGUUCAGGGAAGAGGAGGGGAAGGGGGCAUAUAUAGGGAUAUGGUAAUUUAGGGGAGGCACAUGCGCCUUGGCCUUGCGCAAUGACUCAGCACUCCUGACUCACCAUGACUCAGCACCUACAACUUAGCACUGUGAUGGCACCCAGGCCCACAACACGGCCUAUGCUCCCUACAUCUCACCCCUUUCUGUAAAAUAAGGUAGCCGUAUGCACAUGGCCAUAAACUUGCGGUGACCUUGUCCGUCUUAGGUUGCCUUCCUCUGAAGGUCUUACCCGCCAGUGGCUGCUGGCCAAGCUCAAGCAAGUGUAAGGGUGCAAGUGGCUGUACCUGGCUUAGGUUGCCUCCCUCUGGAGAUCUUACCCGUUGUUGGCUACCAGCCCACCAGCCAUGCCUUUUGGGGAGAGUAAGGGAGAGGGCAGUCGCAGUAACAGUGCGAGUCAAUUGUCAGCGGUCACUGAGUCAUGCAGGCUGGCUUGCUGAGGUAGGUGGCACAUAGGUGUUGGAGGCUAGGCAAGAGUCAGGGGGUGGCCAGAGCAUAGGAAGGAAAGGGAAUGGGACAUUUUGAGUUCUUUGGAGCAAGGCUGUGUACGAUGUUGUUGAAGCAGCAUAUGCUCGGUGCGGCUACACAGCGGUGGUAGCAGUGGCGGCUUCUUCUCUCGUGGGGAGACGCUGGUAGCCAAGGGGGUGCACACGAAAGACGGUGACUGCUGAAAUAUACUCCAUUCUUCUUUGCAGCCAUCACAGGAGACGGGGCUAAACUGAAAAAGACAAUUAAAAGAACAAGAGGGCCAAGGAGCGGGGCAAUUCAGGCUGCGAGUGGGGAGGUAAACCAACUGAGAAAGGAGGGAGGGACUAGGGAGUUUUUGGACAGUGAUUCAUGUAAAUGUUUUAACUUAUUUAUGUUUUGCUCUAUAACCCCUGACUCAUUAACAAAAUAACAGCACUCUUCCUGGAGGAAGAGACAGGUGCCUCCUUUCUCCACAGUAAGGAGAUCUAAUGCCCUUCUAUUUUGUAAUACAACCUGAGCGAGAGAGGAGAUUUGCCUUUGUAGGGACUCCAGGGAUGCAGUAGUGGAGUCCAAGAUGAUCUAUCUGUAGCUCCUCUUGGAAUUGCGCCGCAGUGGCGAUUCCAUGACCGAGGGCGCCGCCGGCGGUGGCAAUGGCAGCAACCGUGGUUGUGAAAGAAAUUCCCACUAACACGGGGAGAAAGGUGGCUCUGUUUGGUCUAGGUGAAAGCAACUGAAUAAUUUCCCCUUCAGAAUACAGUGUAAGCUGGGGAGUGAGGGUGACUAGGACACAUGGUUCAGGGACAGUGUCAUUAAGGCAGGUGAAUAGGGACUGAUUGCACCACAGGUAAAAACCAGUGGGUACAGAAAGUUUGGAGGGAGUGUUUGAUUGGUAGUACAAGAAGCUGUUUUGAUAAAACAGACUCUUUGUAUACUGAUUAUCAGGAUAGAAAUUUUCCAUAAACUUUCACCAGAACAAACAAAUGAUUUGAGAGUCUUUGAAAAAGGACAAAAUUUUUAACUUUGAUACAUACUACUUGAUACUAAGGCUUUUUCAAACUUUAUAGACAGACCCGUCAAAUCUUACUUAACUUUAACCAUAAAAAUUUCUUUCCACAAACCUUCUACACUUUCAGCAUUCAUCCAGGCCUUGUUCCACAUUUUACUCUUUCUCAACAACCAAUCAUCCUAUCUUAGGACAAAAUCAUCUCCUGUUUCCAUAGCAACAAAAAUGCAUUCCAUACAUCCCCCAUAUCGAGCCACCAGGCAAACCUCCCACAACAUACAAUUGCCACCAACACCAAACGAGUCUGUCAAAACAAUGAACCUUUCUUCACCCUAAAUACCCAGUAGCAUGCAAUACUAGAAACAGUCCCCUAGAAGCCAGUUUGCAGGGAAGACUAGCCACCAACAAGUUUUCCUGCCAUAAAAUUACCUUUUAUUAUUAUCAUCAUCAAUUCAGUUUUAUAUAUAUUUAAUAAUGACCUUUUGGAAUUAGCUGUUUAAAUACCUUAAUUUAAACAAUGUUUCAUUAAACUUCUUAUAAUUAUUUAUAACCAUAUAGAUUAUUUAUAACCAUAUAGACUAUAAUUAUAUUAUUUUAAGACAAAUUUUAUCUUCACAGAACACAUUCCGUUACUGAAAGUUACCACAAUACCUUCUACAACUUGCCACAUGCAAAUUAAGUUCCAAGAGUUUAUGAAAAAUAAGCCAUCCUAUUUUAGGACAAAACACACCUUUUAGAAAAAACUUAUUAAAUUUCAGUCAGCAUUCCCACAAACUUUCAACCUUCUUCAAUAUUCAUUUAAGUUUUACAUCCUUCAUUUUAUUCUGUGAAGAAAAAUAAACUAUUCUUGUCAAUCUAGGCAAGAAUAACUUUUUAUGAAGACUUAUAGUUAAUUUUGUUAAUAAGACUUACAAUUUUUAUCAUUGUAGAUAUCUUAUUAACAUUUAAAAACUUAUGUAUUAAUAUAAUAAACUUAAGUAUUAAUAUAAGUGCUUAUUUAAUUUUUGGCCAUUUGAAUAGAGCUCUUUUUAAGAUUUUUAUUAAUUUAUAUUUACCAUCUGGAGGUAUCACAAUAUACACUGACAUUGAACGAACAGACAAACACAAAACAAUUACAACACAUUACAGAAACAUACAGUUUAUUUACAAUCGACUCAUAAUUCUUACUUUCUUGGUAUAGCUGCUUUUAAAUUUUUUGUUAUAUAUCACAUCUUAGAUUGUACUUUUUAAGAUUUCUUCUGGAAUCCAUGUUGCCUGUAAUAUGCAAGCUUGUGCUAGGAAACAUUAUCAGUUUAUCAUUUUAUCAGUUAAGAUAACUUGAGCAGCAUAAAUGUAGUUAAGUUCUUAUUUUGCAGUUUAGGCAGACCUGUUAACACACAUUUUUGUAUUAUUAUUCUGUAAGAUUAUACUGAGAUUUGAAGUUCCGGAGAAAACUAUUGAUUUAAAACUGAAAAUUCCUUUUAGACCUUGAUAAAAAUUUUGUGCUACUUUUAUUAUCUUGGUUAAAUAAGCCCAAUCAGAGUUAGCACGGAAAUAAAACAAAACACAAAUGUUGCUACGUUUUUCUCUUUUUCCAGUGUCUUAACUAUAUUAACCCUCAGUAGCCCACAGCUACAUUGUCAUGUAGACAGCAGGGUGAAGGUGAUUCAUUGAAGUGUAGGGAGGAGAGCCUUAAGGAUUUGAAUUUGGGGGGCAGAGGUGGAAGUAGAAAGAUUGCCCAUAAUGGGGCAGGGGUAACUCACGCAAACACGGGCGCUACGACGUCCGUCAGGCAGCGGGGUCCCUGUCCGUUGGUCCCUGUUUGGGCACCAGAUGAAGGCGGCCGGUCGGCUGCAGCUCGUGGACCGGUUCCACCGGGGGAGAGGGCGUUCCUCACACUGCCAGCGUGAGAUGCGGGUUGUCGGGGCGACCUCUCUUGCCUCGCUCCGGAACGGCCUCUGGGACCGCAAGCCAGCUGGGGUGAAGAGGGCCGCGCUACGAACUCACAGGAACACCAGCCAGAAGAAACGGGAGACUUUAUUAGGAGGGCCAGCGCAUGUGGGCUCAUGCGCAACCUGCAGACGCUUCAGGGAAGAGGAGGGGAAGGGGCGAUAUAUAGAGAGAUGGUAAUUUAGGGGAGGCGCAUGCGCCUUGGCCUUGCCCCAUGACUCAGCACUCCUGACUCACCAUGACUCAGCACCUAUGACUUGCACUGUGAUGGCACCCAGGCCCACAACAUGGCCUAUGCUCCCUACACCCAUAUACCAUUUUCCUUAUUCCUUUGCCCUCAUAUUUGAAUCUAGUUAAGGGAAGAACUGUGGUUCAGGUGACUGAGCUCCUGCCUACCUCAUGGGAUGUCUGUGAUUUGAUUCCCAAUGCAACCUAAAGAAGACAACGAGCGGGUAUGAUGGGCAGGGGCAGUGACCUGAUGCAACAAGACGACACACAAGACCAAGAAGAAAAAACAUAAUGAGACACACAACAGGGCAGGGCACGCAGGGGCUUAAGUGAUUACGCAUCUCCCUCCCAUAUCAGCGGUCCUGGGUUCAGUUCCUGGUGCCUCCUAAAAACAACAUACGGCAAGUGCAAACAAUGAGGGGUGGGGAAAAUAAAUCUUUACAAACAUAAAUAAAAAUUAAAUUUGCUUAACUUUUAAGAUCUUUCUUUUGAAAGUAACAUUGAAUUUUUGUCAAACCAAGUGUACUUUCAAGGAAUGAAUAGAACCAGCCUUAACUAAACUUAAUGAUUUUUCCACAUGCAGUAGAAGUAUAUCUUGUUUUUCUCAAACAUGGUUGUGCCCCACAUAUACACUAGAAGAAAAGUAAACCUUCAAAACUAAAAGUAAACCUUCAGCC
rnacentral:lncRNA from 1 species